rnacentral:rRNA from 1 species
CUACGACGCCGGCUGGUGAAUGGCUCGGCUCGAGAGCUGAAGACGGACGUGCCAAGCUGCGAUAAGCCUGUGGGAGCCGCACGGAGGCGAAGAACACAGGAUCUCCGAAUGGGAAUCCCCUCGCAAUUGCUGUGCGCAAUGGGGAACGUCGGGAAUUGAAACAUCUUAGUACCGACAGGAAUAGAACGCAAACCGCGAUGUCGUCAGUAACCGCGAGUGAACGCGACACAGUCCAAACCGAAGCCCUUACGGGCAAUGUGGUGUUCGGACUGACACUCAUCGCAUGACCCACUUCGAGAAAUCUUCUGGAACGAAGUACGAUACAGGGUGACAGUCCCGUAUCGAAGUGCAGUAUUGCGUGCGUCAGCUCCAGAGUAGCGGGGGUUGGAUAUCCCUCGUGAAUAUCUCAGGCAUCGACUGAGAAGACUAAACACUCCUCGAGACCGAUAGCGAACAAGUAGCGUGAGCGAACGCUGAAAAGCACCCCGAGAAGGGAGGUGCAAUAGGGCCUGAACUCAGUCGGCCACUGAGCGACGGGGCAUACAAGGCCCCACGAAAAACGACCGAGGUGCGAACCUCUAGUAGGAAUCGUGGGGAGCCGAUGUUCCGUCGUGCGUUUUGAAAAACGAGCCAGGGAGUGGAUCUGUCUGACAAGUCUAACUAGAGCAUCUAGGAAGGCGCAGGGAAACCAACAUGGCCGCAGGGCUUUGCCCGAGGGCCGCCGUGUUCAAGCGCGGGGAGUCAGACGGAUCCGACCCGAAUCCGAGCGAUCUAUGCGCGAGCAAGGUGAAGCGUGCCGAAAGGCACGUGGAGGCCUGUUAGAGUUGGUGUCCUACAAUACCCUCUCGUGACUCGUGUAUAGGGGUGAAAGGCCCAUCGAGCUCGGCAACAGCUGGUUCCAACCGAAACAUGUCGAAGCAUGACCUCUGGCGAGACAGUUCGUGAGGUAGAGCCACCGAUUGGUGAUCCCGCCCCCGAGAGGGGUCGGCUCACCUGUCAAACUCCGAACUUACGAACGUUAUCGACCCAGGGAUUCCGGUGCACGGGGUAAGCCUGUGUACCAGAAGGGAGACAACCCACUGCCGGGUUAAGGUCCCCAAGUAUGGAUUAAGUGCAAUCCUCUGAAGGUGGUCCCGAGCCCCAGACAGCCGGGAGGUGAGCUUAGAAGCAGCUACCCUCUAAGAAAAGCGUAACAGCUUACCGGCCGAGGUUCGGGGCGCCCAAAAUGAUCGGGGCUCAAAUCCAUCACCGAGACCUGGCCGCACCCGUGACAGGGUGAUCGAGUAGGUUGGCGCUCCACGUGGGUGGAAGCACGGGCGAGAGCUCGUGUGGACCGCGUGGUGACGACAAUCCUGGCCAUAGUAGCAGCGUUAGUCGGGUGCGAACCCCGACGGCCAAACGGAUAAGGGUUCCUCGGCAAUGCUGAUCAGCCGAGGGUUAGCCGGUCCUAAGACUCGUCGCAAUUCGAGCGAGUCAAAGCAGGGUAACAGGUUAAUAUUCCUGUGCCACCACACAGUGAAAGCUGACGUCUCGGGGUCACUCACGCCGGGUUCGCGCCCGGCCGAAUCGUCAAAGCCCGUGGAAGCCGUAAUGGCAGGAAGCGGUCGAACGGCGAGAUAGCGCAAGGUGAGCCAACCUGGGACCCGUGAAAAGGCGAGUGUGGUGUCCGUACCGAGAACCGACACAGGUAUCCGUGGCGGCGAAAGCCAAGGCCUGUCGGGAGCAACCGACGUUAGGGAAUUCGGCAAGUUAGUCCCGUACGUUCGCAAGAAGGGAUGCCUGCCUCCUUCGAGGCAGGUCGCAGAGACCAGGACGCUCCGACUGUCUAGUAACAACACAGGUGACCGCAAAUCCGCAAGGACUCGUACGGUCACUGAAUCCUGCCCAGUGCGGGUAUCUGAACACCCAGUACAAUGGGACGAAGGACCCGUUAACGGCGGGGGUAACUAUGACCCUCUUAAGGUAGCGUAGUACCUUGCCGCUUCAGUAGCGGCUUGCACGAAUGGAUGAACGAGAGCGUCACUGUCCCAACGUCGGGCCCGGUGAACUGUACGUUCCAGUGCGGAGUCUGGAGCCCCCCAAGGGGAAGCGAAGACCCUAUGGAGCUUUACUGCAGGCUGUCGCUGAGACACGGUCGCUAGUGUGCAGGAUAGGUAGGAGCCGUUACACAGGUACCCGCGCUAGCGGGCCACCGAGGCAUCACUGAAAUACUACCCACUAGUGACUGUGACUCUCACUCCUGGCGGAGGACACCGGUAGCCGGGCAGUUUGACUGGGGCGGUACGCGCUUGAGAGAAGAUCGAGCGCGCCCCAUGAUCAUCUCAGCCGGGUCAGAAAUCCGGCGCAGAGUGCAAGAGCACAAGAUGGUCUGACAGUGUCCUGCCUAACGAAGGACGCUGACGCGAAAGCGGGGUCUAGCGAACCAAUCACGGUCCUCAAUGGGCCGGAUUGAUGACAGAAAAGCUACCCUAGGGAUAACAGAGUCGUCACUCGCAAGAGCACAUAUCGACCGAGUGGCUUGCUACCUCGAUGUCGGUUCCCUCCAUCCUGCCCGUGCAGAAGCGGGCAAGGGUGAGGUUGUUCGCCUAUUAAAGGAGGUCGUGAGCUGGGUUUAGACCGUCGUGAGACAGGUCGGCUGCUAUCUAUUGGGGGUGUAACGGAACCUGCCGGGAACGUUCGUAUAGUACGAGAGGAACUACGAAUGGGUGCCACUGGUGUAUCAGCUGUCCGCAAGGGCACGUGCUGAGCAGCCACGCACCACGGGGUAACGGCUGAACGCAUCUAAGCCGGAAACCCACCUGAAAACGAGGUUCCAUUGGACGGCUUGUAGAAGACAAGCUCGAUAGACUCGGGAUGUACGCGUCGAGGCAACGAGACGUUGAGUCCGCGAGCACUAAGCAAGUCC